AGCGAACGCUGGCGGCAGGCUUAACACAUGCAAGUCGAACGGGCGUAGCAAUACGUCAGUGGCAGACGGGUGAGUAACGCGUGGGAACGUACCUUUUGGUUCGGAACAACCCAGGGAAACUUGGGCUAAUACCGGAUAAGCCCUUACGGGGAAAGAUUUAUCGCCGAAAGAUCGGCCCGCGUCUGAUUAGCUAGUUGGUGUGGUAACGGCGCACCAAGGCGACGAUCAGUAGCUGGUCUGAGAGGAUGAUCAGCCACAUUGGGACUGAGACACGGCCAAACUCCUACGGGAGGCAGCAGUGGGGAAUAUUGGACAAUGGGCGCAAGCCUGAUCCAGCCAUGCCGCGUGAGUGAUGAAGGCCCUAGGGUUNUAAAGCUCUUUUGUGCGGGAAGAUAAUGACGGUACCGCAAGAAUAAGCCCCGGCUAACUUCGUGCCAGCCGCCGCAGU
rnacentral:rRNA from 1 species